AGCGAACGCUGGCGGCAGGCCUAACACAUGCAAGUCGAACGGAUCCUUCGGGAUUAGUGGCGGACGGGUGAGUAACACGUGGGAACGUACCUUUUGGUUCGGAACAACUCAGGGAAACUUGAGCUAAUACCGAAUGUGCCCUUCGGGGGAAAGAUUUAUCGCCAUUAGAGCGGCCCGCGUCUGAUUAGCUAGUUGGUGAGGUAAAGGCUCACCAAGGCUACGAUCAGUAGCUGGUCUGAGAGGAUGAUCAGCCACAUUGGGACUGAGACACGGCCCAAACUCCUACGGGAGGCAGCAGUGGGGAAUCUUGCGCAAUGGGCGAAAGCCUGACGCAGCCAUGCCGCGUGAAUGAUGAAGGUCUUAGGGUUGUAAAAUUCUUUCACCGGGGACGAUAAUGACGGUACCCGGAGAAGAAGCCCCGGCUAACUUCGUGCCAGCAGCCGCGGUAAU
rnacentral:rRNA from 1 species